GGGACCGAGCUGGGACGGGGACAGGAGCCCGGGGUCACAGCGUCGCGUUCUCUCCUGUCCCCGUCCCAAAUGAAAUUUCGCUCCUUAGCCCUUAUAAAUCCACCCAGUACUCGGCUGAAACACCGCCAGACUGCCUUAUUUUAUGCAAAGACCACACCGUGCUUUUGAUGUCCAGGUCAUGUUGUGCAAGAGAGCGUUUACUUUAGGCCUCAAAGUGUGUAAAAACACUUCACUGCUAUGAAGAAGGUGAGGAACCAGACCUGAACCACUACGAGCAGGAUGGUGAUGAUUGUAUUACCUCUUGCACAUGGAACACCACAGUUAUUUCUCCUAUUGCCAGCCCAAUGGGACAACAGAAAAAGUGAAAGUCUGUUAAAACAACACAGAGCAGUGAUGGCCAAAUGAGGAAAUAUAUGAAUGUCAAACAAUAA